rnacentral:rRNA from 1 species
AUUGAACGCUGGCGGCAUGCCUUACACAUGCAAGUCGAACGGUAACAGGUCUUCGGAUGCUGACGAGUGACGAACGGGUGAGUAAUACAUCGGAACGUGCCUAGUAGUGGGGGAUAACUACUCGAAAGAGUGGCUAAUACCGCAUGAGAUCUACGGAUGAAAGCAGGGGAUCGCAAGACCUUGUGCUACUAGAGCGGCCGAUGGCAGAUUAGGUAGUUGGUGGGAUAAAAGCUUACCAAGCCGACGAUCUGUAGCUGGUCUGAGAGGACGAUCAGCCACAGUGGGACUGAGACACGGCCCAGACUCCUACGGGAGGCAGCAGUGGGGAAUUUUGGACAAUGGGCGCAAGCCUGAUCCAGCAAUGCCGCGUGCAGGAUGAAGGCCUUCGGGUUGUAAACUGCUUUUGUACGGAACGAAAAGCCCUGGGUUAAUACCCUGGGGUCAUGACGGUACCGUAAGAAUAAGCACCGGCUAACUACGUGCCAGCCGCCGCAGUAA